UUUCGCUGAUGCAAGAGCCUAGUGCGGUGCUGUGAGAAGUAUCGGUGGGAGCUACGCUGACUCCGGGCCGUGAAGCCGACCGGUUUGACUUUUCAUCCCUGCCGAACCCGCUCGAACUACAGCCAUGUCCGGGGACGAGGUGAGAGGCUGAGCUGGAGUUAGGGCUAAGGACUGAGGCAGGAAGCCGAACCCACACCUGUGUGAGAAGCCGGGCCUGCGGCCUAGCUGUAGCCGGCCGCCAUGUGGAGCAGCCCGGCCUAGGCGUCCCGGAGCUGUGGAGCCGGCGAGGACUCUGGAUCCUCAGACUUGGUCUCCCUCGGCUCUCCUCAGGGCGGCGGCGAGGCCUGUCUCCCACGGUGAUCGGCGUUUCGGAAUGGAGAGCGUGUUGAGCCGUCCUCUCGGAAAGGGGUUGAAUGCCGAGUUAGUUUGCCCGGCCGCCCCGGCAUUCCUUUCCUCACACACAUAGCCGCCUCGGCUCUCACGGCUGAGGGGUCAGGGUGCCCUGCGAGGCCCCUCUCGGUUCCGGUGGAGCACCGAGGUUAAAACUUUGUAGGCUGCCUUUUCCGGGCGGAUAUCUCGCUCCCGUUUCCCGCUCGAGGCCUUAUUUCUUAAGACAGGAACCCAAAGAGCCAGAGGAGAAGAUAUUUUAAGUCUCAGGAAGUGACCACCUUUCGAGAAAAGUUUUCGGGCCCGAGUCCCAAAGUUUCCUUUACAGGCGAGGUGAGCAGGAAGGUCCGGCUGUGAAACUGACUGGGUUUGGAUCUCAGAAUUUUUCAAGCCCCGUCCCCCGUUUUAUUGUGUCUUUUUUUUUUCUUUUAAAUCUUUUUGGGUUUUGCCUUUUCCAGAUUUAUCCUAGUUCACAUACCAUUAAAUGACUUUAAAGAAAAAAGAGUGGUCUUGGCUUAGAUAUUGCUUAGCAUUGGGCCUAGAAGCCUAAUCCUAGCCCCAAGGAAGUACUUUACGAAGAAUUUGUGACUUACUUGACUUACAGGCCUAGGGGAGGGGUAAGAGGAAUAGUUGAAGGUUCUGUGCAGAGUUGGCUUUUGAAUGGGCUCUAGAAAUGAUCAGAAUUUUCUCAACCAAUGAGAAAACUGAUCACAAGGCGUUUAUGGUCAAGAAGGGAGAAAGUGCAUAGAAAGUGAAGUAUUCACUAGUUUGGUUGAAGUAGAUGCUGGUUAGUUUAUGGAGGACUUAGGUAACUACAUUAAGGAAUUAGAGAUUUGUUUCAUGGGAACUAGUUCUAGUUUAAGUUGGUUUCCAGGGUUCAGUAAAAUAAAUUCCUGUAAGUCCAUUUUAGAGAUGAGCCAAUUGGAGCUUAGAGUUGUACAGUGCCUCUAAUAAAAUUCCAAGUGCCUGAGCUAGUAAUAGAAUCCCAGCUCUGUGCAGUAUGCCUUCAUCUAAAUGACUAGGAGGCUCUUGCAAACUCACUAAACUCUGGAAGAGAUAGAUGUUUCUUGCUUGAAAGACACGUUAGACAUUGCUCUUUGCUACUGCAUUAUGUGUUAGAAAAGUUCAGAAAGUGUUUAGCCUUUAUUUCUACUCACGUUCCAGACUUAAAAAUAACUACCUAUAUACAGCUGUGGUGUUCUGUGGUAAAGUGCUUAUGGGUAGUAAGAGGUAAUAGAUAACACAUGUAGUAACCAAACUUCGUAACUUAAAAAUAACUACCUGUGUAUUGUUAUAUUGUUCUGUCUAUUGCUUCUGUGGUAAAGUAUGGUGUAGGAAGAAGUAAUGUUUAGACUAGUUUAAAGUUUUUUUUUUUUUUUUUUUUUUUUUGGUUUUUCGAGACAGGGUUUCUCUGUAUAGCCCUAGCUGUCCUGGAACUCACUUUGUAGACCAGGCUGGCUUCGAACUCAGAAAUCCGCCUGCCUCUGCCUCCCAAGUACUGGGAUUAAAGGCGUGCGCCACCACGCCCGGCCUUAAAGUUUUAUUGUUUUGAGAAAUGUUACUCCAUAACCAGCUGAUCCAAAUUUGCCAUCAAGUUAAGAUAUUUUCUCCUCAAAAGUAUGUCAGUAUCAAGUUUGAGGACAACAUCCCUGCCUGCCCCCCUCACCGUCCACCACACACAGUAAAGAUAAGACUGAGGAUGGCUUAUUCUUAGUGUGCUAGGCAUCAACAAAACUGAAGUAAAAAAAAAAAUUAAAUGUUUUGUUGUUGUUUGAGACGGGGUUUCUCUGUGUAGUCCUGGCUGUCCUGGAACUCUGUAGAUGAGACUGGCCUUAAACUCAGAGGUACACCUGCCUCUGCCUCCAAUUGCUGGGAUUAAAGGUGUGCGCCCCCAACUGAGGCUUGAUAGGAAACUUUUUUUAAAAAUUAUUUUAUUUCAUGUGAAUUGUAUAUUUGCAUUUUGCCUACACAUAUGUCUUUGUAAGGGUGUCGGAUUUCCUGGAACAGUUGUGAGGUGCUUUGUGGGUGCUGGGGACUGAACCUGGAUCCUCCGAAAGAGCAGCCAGUGCUCUCUGAUUGUUGAGCAGUCUCUCCAGCCUCAAUAUGAAACUUUUUAAGCCAAAGUCUUAAUGUGUAUCUCAAGCUGGCAAGUGUGAUCUUGUGAUUUGGGGAGUUCUGCUUUGGGUGCUGACUUAGGUUUUCUGGUUUCCUUAUGCAACUAUUUUACAGGGAUGUGUGAACAAAAAUAAGUAUUAAUAUGUUAAACAUGUGUUAAGUAUUCUAGGAACAUAAUUACAAUGUGGCAUAAGAUUUCUGAGUGUUUACUACUAGCCUGCAGUCUACUUACUAUAGACCUAAAUUAGAAUUUUCUUGAGGGGUGAAAGGUAACUAAAACUAUCAUCUGAUCAUUUUAGGAUUUCCCCCUUCUUUGAUCUGUCUUGAUAAGGUAUGAUGGGUGUAAUAGUGUGUCCCUAUAAUCCUAGCACUUGGCUUAGGAGUUCAAGACCAGCCACAAAAGCAAACUCAGAAAAAGCCACUAGUAAAUCAGGGAAACUUAGACUGGAAAAAAAAUGAGUGGAUUGUAAGCUCUACCAGAAUCAAAGUUUCAAUGCCUGGAAUUUUGUUUGCCCUUAUGCCAAGUCUUCUUCCUACAGUAUAGCUGUGUUCUUGACCUCUUUAUAACAGAUUGCAGCAUUCUUUCCAUGUGGGAUUACCUCAGGCCCUGUAGUAAGUCAGCACUGGACUUGCUUUUGGUAUUGGUGCUAUAUGAAAAUUUCCAUAAUGCCUUGAACAGACUUGUCUGCUAUGACAAUUUACUUUAUUACAAGGUUUCAGUCUUUCGAUAGACAUAAAGGAAUUACAGUUAGUUAUUAGAAUCAAUUUGGGAAUUUUAAAAAAAACCAGUUUUGUUAUGUCUGAAAAAUCAAGUUACUCCUUAGUUGAGGAAUCUUCAAUGACAGGAUCAUUGUUAGUUAUAACUACAAUCAGAUAGUUGAUUCUCACAGUAACUUUGUCAUGGUUGGUAUCAGUUAUCUCCAUUGUACAGAUGAAGAUGUACAGAUGAAGCAUAGGGUAACCCACAUGAGUUAGAGUCAGGAUUGGACGCAAGGUAAUUAUGCUCCAAUGUGCUUUCGAUCACUACACAAUGAACAAAAUGAUAAGCUUAAACAUGAUAGGAAAAAAAAUACUUUGGACUUGAAUCCAGUUCUGUUUGACUAAAGAUUUUGCUUUCUUCACUAGCAGGAGUAUGCCCUAUAUGUUCAAAUUAUUUUAAGGGAUCAGUAUAAACAGUCUACAGGUUAGAAAUUAAUUUUUCACUUGUUCUACAAUAGAUUUAGAUGAAAGUGGCUUGUGAACACUUCACAUUACAUAGCAAAAAACAGUGAAGGAUUCCUUAGAAAAAUUUCUUACAGUAAGGGUUGCUGAUAGGGUUCCAUAAAAGUUAAGGUUGAUGUGAAUUUCAGCAUAAAUUUUUAAUUUUUUUUAGAAUAUUUUGCUUACUGUUUUGAUAGUUCCAUAAUGCAGACAAUAUAUCUUUAUUUUGUAUUUACCUCUAACUUCUCCAAACACUCAACAGAUGAAAAAUUUAAAAACCAAGUCUUAGAUUGUCUGGUGUUAGCAUCUACUCAACCUUAAAUAAAACGUUUAUCAUCUGCCUAGACAUUGUUGGUCCUCACCCAUAAAUGAGGGAUGCAAUAUAGGUUGUUGCUAAAGUCCUUUUAAUAAAUUUCAGGAUUUGUUCAGGCCUAAAUUUGUUCAUGAAAAUAAAAAUGAAGUUAUUGUAGUUUAUGAUAGCUUACAAAUUAAAAGACUUUUGUGAGGUUCUCCCUGUGUUUAAUGAUGUAAAGGGAGUUAGGUGGGCUUUCUGUAAAUUCUGUUUUGUUUUUUUACUGUGUGUAUUGCCUGUGAAAGGGAGCCUGCAAAUAAGCAAGUACCGGGGAGCAAGUGUGGGAUGUCUCCAGCCCCACCUUUUGGCAUUUUAAUGUAUCCUGUUCUUUUAGGAAUAUGCUUUUUGAGAAUAAAGGAUAUUUGGAAUGGGCGCUUCAUUAGGAAUUAUCACUUGGUGUUUUUAAAUUAACAGAUGAUUUUUGAUCCUACUAUGAG
rnacentral:lncRNA from 1 species